UUUAAUGUGAUGACCAAGUAAAAGUUGUGGUGAACAAGUAUUGGAUAAGUGUUGUGGUUAGCAAGUAAACUUGGUAAAUAAGUAAUGAAUAGUAAGAAGGUUAGCUUAAGGAGGUGGGAUGACCUAAAGACCAAAUUACCCUAACUUUAGCAAUCCUAUAAAUAAAAAGCUUUGAUUCAUUAUUUGCUUGUUCAAAUUUAAUCCAAUAACUUUCCUUUACAAAGCAACUUACGUGUUAGAGAGAAUAAACACUUAUAAGCUAAACUUCCAUAUUUUUUUCAAGAAGAAGAAUAACUAGUUCAUCAAGGGUAAGACUCUUGUCCUAUAUUCUUCCAUCUCUUCCAUGAUAUCUUGAUAGUGAAGUGAUGGUCUUGUAUGCUAAGAAAUCAUAAGAAGGGAUAAGCUAAUGACUUAAGUAUUAAUGAGCCGGGAAUAAGCACUUUGUUCAUGAAUAAGCUAUGAACUAAGGAAGAACUUGUAAUAAUUAUAGCAUGUUUACAUGAAUGAAUUUGGUAUGAUAAAAGUAUGUAAGAAUGAUGGUUAGAAGACUUAAACAAUCAUAAGCCAUGUGAAGCAAAGUUAUAGGUAGUUUAUACCUUAAUAAGUUAUAAGCUCAUGAAGAAUAAG
rnacentral:lncRNA from 1 species